rnacentral:pre_miRNA from 1 species
AUAAUUUUCGGUUCGUCGGUCUACCGAGCAAUAUCACCCGCUCGGUGAAAGACCUUUCCUCUAUCGU